UAGGGAAUCUUCGGCAAUGGGGGGAACCCUGACCGAGCAACGCCGCGUGAGUGAAGAAGGUUUUCGGAUCGUAAAGCUCUGUUGUUAAGGAAGAACGAGUGGGAGAAUGGAAAGUUCAUGCUGUGACGGUACUUAACCAGAAAGGGAGGGCUAACUACGUGCCAGCAGCCGCGGUAAUACGUAGGUCCCGAGCGUUGUCCGGAUUUAUUGGGCGUAAAGCGAGCGCAGGCGGUUAGAAAAGUCUGAAGUGAAAGGCAGUGGCUCAACCAUUGUAGGCUUUGGAAACUGUUUAACUUGAGUGCAGAAGGGGAGAGUGGAAUUCCAUGUGUAGCGGUGAAAUGCGUAGAUAUAUGGAGGAACACCGGUGGCGAAAGCGGCUCUCUGGUCUGUAACUGACGCUGAGGCUCGAAAGCGUGGGGAGCGAACAGG
rnacentral:rRNA from 1 species